rnacentral:rRNA from 1 species
GACGAACGCUGGCGGCGUGCUUAACACAUGCAAGUCGAACGGAAAGGCCCUGCUUGCGGGGUACUCGCGUGGCGAACGGGUGAGUAACACGCGGGUGAUCCGCCCUGCACUUCGGGAUAAGCCUUGGGGACUGGGUCUAAUACAGGAUAGGAGCCAUCCUUCGUGUGGUGGUUGGAAAGAUUUUUCGGUGUGGGGUGGGCUCGCGGCCUACUAGCUUGUUGGUUGGGUAAUGGCCUACCAAGGCGGCGUCGGGUGGCCGGCCUGAGGGGGGGGACGGCCACCAUGGGGCUGGGGUACGGCCCCGACUCCCACGGGGGGCAGCAGUGGGGAAAAUUGCACCAUGGGGGCGAGCCUGAUGCAGCGACGCCGCGUGGGGGGUGACGGCCUUCGGGGUGUAAACUCCUUUCGCUAGGGACGAAGCUGUUUGUGACGGUACCGAGAUAAGAAGCACCGGCUAACUACGUG